rnacentral:sRNA from 1 species
GCACUCAGUGUUUUGCGGUUGGUCCUUUUGGAUUAGGCCCUAGAGGUUGCUCCACAUGGAUGCACUGACGGUUCCUGCUCGUUUUUAGCGUCUGCAUGUACAAUCGUUACUCACUGGGUUCCACUUAAACGCUUUGUACGAGAUUAGAUCAUCGGAUUGUGAAAAUGCUGGACAGCCAACCUUGGGUCUUCAAAACAGGCUUAUAUGUUGCGGAGAGCGACGACGAGGGCCGCCAAAGUCAGUGCCACCGUUAGACCACGCCAUCUUCAGAACGAUUUCCCAGGCUUUGAAACAACUACAGAUGGAUUGCUGAGGUGUCUCAGAGGGAAGGGAGUUGGAAUGGCACUAGCUAGGAAGCUGUAUGUUGAUAUGAUAAAAGGAAUUUCCUGGGAAUCCCGAUCUCCCCAAUAUUUUUAGCAGUGUGGUCGAGUUCCUCCCAUGAUUGUCGAGCACACCAUGAAUUUUAGCAAACCUUCGUAUUAAUAAAUCAAUUGUACACGGA